AUGGGGCACCCCAUGGACCCACAACCUCACUUAUGGGGCAGCCCACGGACCCUCUGUGACCCCCAAGUUACUUAUGGGGCAGCCCACGGACCUUCUCUGACCCCCAAGUCCCCACUUAUGGGGCACCCCACGGACCUGGACCCACAACCACCCACUUAUGGGGCAGCCCACGGACCUUCUCUGACCCCCCACCCCUCCCCAGCCCCCCAACUUAUGGGGCGAAGACCCACCUUUGAAGGAACCUCCGGGGACCCCUCCCCUGGGGCACCCCAUGGACUUUUGUGACCCCCAGGUUACUUAUGGGGCACCCCAUGGACCCACAACCUCACUUAUGGGGCAGCCCACGGACCCUCUGUGACCCCC
rnacentral:lncRNA from 1 species